AUCUUAAUAGUUUAAUUUUAAAAUAUAACUCUGAAGAGGUUAAGAUAUUUAAGAU
rnacentral:tRNA from 1 species